GGGGUCGUUAUGGAUUCGACAGGCAUUGUCGCGCAUGAACUGCAACUGCUGCUGACACCAGCUAAAUCUGUCGCAGAAAUAUAACUGCAAAAAAUAAUACACAAUCAUACGCAUUCGCUGCCUAAACCACAGCUUGCGUGACUUUCAUAGAUUUCCCGAUGGUCUGCUGAAAGCCCUAAUAUAGUCGGAUAAGCUGAGCCCUUGUCUCGGAGGUUUGGACGAAAAUUUAGAGACUCGCAAAGUGCCUCUUCUUGAGACUGAUGUGAGCGCUUUGUCAAAAAUGACAGAAGUCCUAUGGUUGUAGGCGUUGAUGUAGCAAGAUGUUUGGACCGGGGUUCAAAUCCCCGCGGCUCCAAAA
rnacentral:tmRNA from 1 species